rnacentral:rRNA from 1 species
AUGUGGAACGAUGAGCUGCAGGUUUCUAUAUAUAGUGCUUCCUUUCAUGCUAUUUUAGCUAAUGUUAUUCAUAGGGCCUCGGGUAUUGAGUUCGGUUUAGUUUGCAUCUAUGGUGACCCAUACCACCAUCAAACUAAGGCUAUUUGGGACCAGGUUGCUAAUUUUGUGUAUGAUAACUUAGGCAAGCCUAUGUUAUGUAUGGGUGACUUGAAUGAUAUCUUGUAUGAUAUUGAUAAGUGCAAUGCUAAUGUUAAUUUUUAUUGUAUGUCUGCUUUU